rnacentral:misc_RNA from 1 species
AACGCACAUUGCGCCUGCUUGCAGGCAUGCCCGUUCGAGCGUCGCUUCUACUUCGGUUUUUCCGAUUUUGGACGUCCCCAAGCGGUCGUCCGUAAAGAAGUGGCCAUCAACUUGCUGAUUACGGUCGACAGUAGUCUGCCACAGCUUGCUGGUGAGUCUUAUCUUGAUCUCUCUCUCUUUUUUUGGGGGGAGAUCCUUUUUUUGACCUCGAAUCGGGUAGGAAUACCCGCUGAACUUAA